GUCGCUCCGACAGCCCUGUCAGAUAAUGCGACUCUCUGCCUCAGUGUCCUUCAACAGAUGCAACUUGGGACCACACCUAGCUUGCAGACAUCACUUGAAGAAAAAGCCCCUUCAAUCAUGAGAGAAAACGAACAGACAAUGAUGUUGUUUAUUUCCUCAAUAAAGUUUCUUGUUAAAGCUGCUGUCAUUGACCUCGUAGGGAAACAUGAAUUCAUUGAGGAUGGACAUAGAAUUUUCCAAGCUCACAGAUAGAAAAGAAAACUUGCUCAUCCGUAAAUGGGAAGAGACCAUAAUUCCAAAGCUUAAGGAAGUAGCAUCCUUGGAGAAAAAAAUGACAUCAAUCACUUUCUGGAGAAAGCUGACAAUCAGCAUGAUGUUGUGAUUGGAUCUUUGUAGAAGGAAGACAAAUUGCUUGACAAGCUUAAGACCGACUCAUUUUGAGACUCACUUAUACCAGUUCAAUUCAUGUGACGAAUAAUAUCAGUUUUUUUGGGAACAACAUACCGGACAAGAUGCGUUCGGACUUUAAAAGAAGAUAAAAGGGAAGAACCAUUAUUUGGUGAGGUUAUGCACAUUAUUCCCCAAAGUGAAAGAGAAUGUGCACGUAUGUUCUUGAGAUUUAAGAGGUAAAUAUUUUGAUGAACACCUUUUUUCCUUCACUGUCCUCAGAAUUGAAGAUUAUGACAUGGCAAAGCUGCCUGGUGACUUAAUAGAUUACAGACCUUUAGAUAUUGUAUAAUUUUGUGAUCAGCAAUAUGUAACUCCUAAAUACAAAAUUUAGUUUUAAACAUGUUAGUGGUUGAAACUGUUGAACACAAUGUUUUGACCAGAUUUGAAAAUGAAUUAAUUUAUUAAGAUGAGCACCUUAUGUGAAUGCAUAAACAGUAAGUGUGUAAUGGUUAUUUCUU